rnacentral:ncRNA from 2 species
UACAGAGGGUGCAAGCGUUAAUCGGAAUUACUGGGCGUAAAGGGUGCGUAGGUGGCUGAAUAAGUUAGGUGUGAAAGUCCUGGGCUUAACCUGGGGACUGCGCCUAAUACUGUUUAGCUAGAGUACUGUAGAGGAAGGUGGAAUUUCCAGUGUAGCGGUGAAAUGCGUAGAUAUUGGAAGGAACAUCUGUGGCGAAGGCGACCUUCUGGACAGAUACUGACACUGAGGCACGAAAGCGUGGGGAGCAAACAGG